rnacentral:tRNA from 1 species
GCAGGCGUGGUGAAGGGGUUAUCAUCUGAGGUUUCCAACCUCAUGUCCCGGGUUCAAAUCCCGGCGCCUGCA